GACCCUAUAUUUAAACCGCUUAGCUACACACUAAACUAGACUAGACAAUUGUAGUGAAAUACAUCAUCAGAGAGAGAAGAUCGAGACUGCAAAAGAAGAGGAAAAACAUGGAUACGGUGCAGAGAGAAAGAGAUUCAGCAUGCCAUUUCAUUGAACAAGUAGUGAAAGCUUUCUCCAAAUGCCUUGGUCUUGAUCCAACAGCUGAAAAAAUUCAAUAUCGUACCAUUGAGAAUGAUGGUGAAGUAACAUCAUCCAUAAUAUCACGAGCUUUCAAAAGGCCACCAAAACCUCGUUUAAGUGCAGGACGUGGAGCUCAAAUUAAUAUUUCCUCCUCUUAAAAUUUAUACAACUACGUACACUCUAUUUCUCUGUUAUGUGUUGCAUAUGGAAGUGAUUUCGGUUGUACUGAAUAUGGAGAAAGGUAACACGUUCAAGGUUUUAGAGUUGAGACAGCAUUGCAUGUAAUUGUACCGUUCCUUUUGUUAGGACAAACACAGAGGUUUUUGAUAUUAUACAAUGUUUUAGUUUUGUAGCUAGAUCAAUUAUAUCCUUUGAAGUUUGAAGCUUUAAGUCGCUUCCAUGUAAUUGUACUGUGAAGUUUAAAUGGUACAAUAUCAUUUUCCUUUUAUUAGAACGAA